rnacentral:lncRNA from 1 species
AUCUGAUUUUUCUUUGAUGUAGUUGAACACCCAAUAUAUGACAUAGUUUAUCAGUUGACUUAAUUAAUUAAUUAAUUAAUUAAUUUUUGGAUAGAAGCAAGUUCUUCCUUGACAUUGAAGAUAGGUAUAUUACUUCCUCAAAAGAACUCUUUAAACCCCCGAGGCUCAGCACAACCUGGUAAUAAAAGCUGUGAAGUGAAGUGAAAGUAAGUUAAGGUGCUUUGGAUGACUAGCGUGUUUCCAGAGUGAAUUAUGCUCACAAACCAAGAUUUCCCUUGCUGGCUGCAACCUGUGGGGAUAUGGCUGAUAACAUUCUCUGCUGCCCUCAACUUUAGACCUGCUUAGCCCAGCCUAAAACUGCACAGGCCAAUUCUUUAUCAUGGAGCCUUUGUGUCGUAAUUUAUUUCAUCUGGAUUAAAGCAGCCCUUAGAGGAUGCAAGCUGUGUUUCUCAUCACCAAGGAACAGGGACCACCCAUCACUGCCUCUGAGAGGCACAAGGUACCCAGACUUCCAGCUCCUGGAUACCAGGACCUGGACUUACUCCUUUCAAUCUGAGCCAAUGAAUUCCCUGCACACAGGAGUUCAAGAAUUCUGUUUCAGGUUGAAGGAUUGCCCUAUGUGGUUUCUGCAUGGACUCAGUGGGCCCAAUUAGAAUCACAACUUGUUAAUAAAGAUAAACUCAGCAUCAAGAUCCCUGCUGUGGGAAAGACCAAGGAGCUGUCUGAGGUCAGGAUGCAGGUAGACAGUGGAAAUGCUGCAGACCAAGGUCCCAAAGGAAGCAGAAACAGAUCAGAAGAGCAGCACACCAUCUGGGCCACAUGAAACUUCACAUCAGGAAGCCAUGGCUACCUGCCCACUUCAUUUUGCCACAGGUUCCUCUAUUUUUAUGACUCCAUCAUAAAAAAAAAUAGAAUAAUUCCCAAAAAUAAAACAAUGUGCAUAA